UACGAAGGGUGCAAGCGUUACUCGGAAUUACUGGGCGUAAAGCGUGCGUAGGUGGUGAGUUAAGUCUGAUGUGAAAUCCCCGGGCUCAACCUGGGAAUGGCAUUGGAUACUGGCUCGCUAGAGUGCGGUAGAGGGUGGUGGAAUUCCCGGUGUAGCAGUGAAAUGCGUAGAGAUCGGGAGGAACAUCUGUGGCGAAGGCGGCCACCUGGACCAGCACUGACACUGAGGCACGAAAGCGUGGGGAGCAAACAGG
rnacentral:rRNA from 1 species